GAACGCACAUUGCGCCCCUUGGUAUUCCGAGGGGCAUGCCUGUUCGAGCGUCAUUUCAACCAUCAAGCGCCUGCGCUUGUGUUGGAGCCCUGCGGCUGCCGCAGGCUCCCAAACCCAGUGGCGGGCUCGUCGUCGUACCGAGUGCAGUAAACUUACCACGCUCAGGGCGCGCGACGGGUGACCGGCCGUAAAACCCCCAACUUAUCAAGGUUGACCUCGGAUCAGGUAGGAAUACCCGCUGAACUUAAG
rnacentral:misc_RNA from 1 species